rnacentral:tRNA from 1 species
CCUUCGAUAGCUCAGCUGGUAGAGCGGAGGACUGUAGAUCCUUAGGUCGCUGGUUCGAUUCCGGCUCGAAGAA